rnacentral:rRNA from 1 species
AUUGAACGCUGGCGGCAUGCCUUACACAUGCAAGUCGAACGGUAACAGGUUAAGCUGACGAGUGGCGAACGGGUGAGUAAUAUAUCGGAACGUGCCCAGUCGUGGGGGAUAACUGCUCGAAAGAGCAGCUAAUACCGCAUACGACCUGAGGGUGAAAGCGGGGGAUCGUAAGACCUCGCGCGAUUGGAGCGGCCGAUAUC